ensembl:lncRNA
CAAACUUCCACUGUUAAAUAUUUCACUUAAAAAAUAGAGAAGCUCAAAGAAAUAAAUCUGCUUUCAAGCGUGGCUUUUCAAAAAGCCUUCAGCUAGAAAUCUCUUUAUCUCGUAGGGCACAGAUAACGAUGCAAUUAUGAGCUCAGAUCAAUGACUUUCAUGCUAAAGCCUAAAAAUAAACCAUUACUCAGAUGUGCGGUGCUGGGUCCAGCAUCUCCUCUGGGCUGCUGGCCCAGUGUAGAACCAUUUUGAAUCGGCCAUGGGGCUUCAGAGGAUUUGGUGAGCCCAGGAAGCUGCUCCUUGGGGUUUGAUGGGUUGAUGUGGGUUGAUGCUGAUGGUUUAAUUCGUUCUCAUCUCCUAGGGUUGCACUGGAUCCUGAGCCACCCCAUGUCCAGCUGUAGGGCAGCGCCUGUGGUGCUGAGUUACCUCAUAGCAGCUUGUUGUGACAAAUCCCAGCAAGCAAUCUCCUUCCAGAAACCGUCGAAGCAAAAAAGAUGUCAUCUUGAUUACACCAAACCCAGAGAAGAAAAGCUUGGGGCAGCGGAAAGCCAAAAGGAGGGAUUGUUGUUGGGUCAAAGGGAAGCGCCACUGAGAGAAGCAUUCAGGUUUAUGGGUGGGGAGGGCUGAAACUGAGAGCCUCAGCUUCAGAGGAGCCUCAGAAAUUCGUGGGUGUCUCUGUCGAUUGCUUUGUCCCUGGGGUGAGGGUCAGUGUGAUUAAUUAGCAGCAGGGCUGAACAGCUGAUCGCUAUCUGCCUGAUAAGAGCCCUGCCAUGGAAACCCUGAUUGUUGCAGGAGAGGUCUCAAUAGCCUCAGUGAAUUGCUUUGGGGCUGUUUGUCCUGCCAGUAAGAGAAAGAAUUUCCUUUUUAAAAUCCAAAUCAGAG